GUUGGAUUUAAUGUAUGCAGCAGAAGUUCUCCAGCUUCUAAUCCUCAAAAAAGCAGAACGCGACCAACACAUGUCUAGCAAGAAGAGGCAGCAGGAGGAGACGGGCAGAGCAACCAGCAGGGUGACAUCAUCGCUAACCGUGGGAGCCUGGCCUGCUGGUUAUGCCAGCGGUGCAACUGCGUGUCACUUCCUGGGAGAAAAUGGAAUAGGAAGCCAGAGAGAGAGAGAGAGAGAGAGGUGACAAGUGAGAGCUUUAACUCCAUAAUGAAGCCUUUCUCCAGCAACAGGGAAUGGAGUCCUGCUAAUGUGUGUGUGUGUGUGUGUGUGUGUACAGCUCUGUGUAAAUGUGUUUCUCACACACUUUGUCAGCUCAGAAACCUAUUUAAAGCUUUUAACAGCUUGUCAACACUUUAUUUUGACUACGCGGUUACAGCAGGGACUCCGUGGAGGAAAGGGCCCAACGUCCCCUUUUUCACUGAGUCGGGGAUUUCUUCCUCUGAACAAUUUUUAAAAAGAACAGUUUGGAGCUGUGGUGUGAGAUGGAGAGAGAGAAAAAAAUCUAAAAUCAGGAGCUGUUGAUGCUGUUUGAGUUUGACUAAGCUGAUCUGCAGAGUUAGAGCUUUACAGAUGGUCUUUCAUUCAGUUAUUUGGAA